rnacentral:rRNA from 1 species
GAUGAACGCUGGCGGCGUGCCUAAUACAUGCAAGUCGAGCGAACAGACGAGGAGCUUGCUCCUCUAACGUUAGCGGCGGACGGGUGAGUAACACGCGGAUAACCUACCUAUAAGACUGGGAUAACUUCGGGAAACCGGAGCUAAUACCGGAUAAUAUAUUGAACCGCAUGGUUCAAUAGUGAAAGACGGUUUUGCUGUCACUUAUAGAUGGAUCCGCGCCGCAUUAGCUAGUUGGUAAGGUAACAGCUUACCAAGGCAACGAUGCGUAGCCGACCUGAGAGGGUGAUCGGCCACACUGGAACUGAGACACGGUCCAGACUCCUACGGGAGGCAGCAGUAGGGAAUCUUCCGCAAUGGGCGAAAGCCUGACGGAGCAACGCCGCGUGAGUGAUGAAGGUCUUCGGAUCGUAAAACUCUGUUAUUAGGGAAGAACAAAUGUGUAAGUAACUAUGCACGUCUUGACGGUACCUAAUCAGAAAGCCACGGCUAACUACGUGCCAGCAGCCGCCGUAA